ACACCGCCGAACACUACAACGAACGUCAGACAAAUCAUUUAUUUCCGAGUGUCUCGGUAACUCGAUUUUCAAUUACGAUUUUGACGCGACACUGUCCUCGCGUCGUAAAAAUCUAGUGAAACACCUCGGUACUGUUUUCGACACUAAAACUGUAUAUCGUCCCGCCCUCGGACGUCAUCGGUGUUCAAUCUCAUUACGGGUGAUCGUUCUCCUCUUAACGAUUCUUUCGCCGUUAAAACGGUGUCUUUUCAUUUCCGUCGGCCGGUCUCGGUCAGAAUAACGUGCCAUAAAUAUUCGGCACUCCGAUGCUACCGCGGUAUCGCCGAUCGCAUCAGUGAAGCGGUUCGAAACGAACAGUUUCGCUCUGUUGGUUAUAAAUUCAACACG